GGAUCAAUGAUCCCCCACAAUCCCAGUACGACACGAGCGUCAAUUCCGGAAGGAAGAGCACCGUGGAUACAAACACCGUGAACGCAUCGGGAACUUAUGAAAAUCUCUCAAGGGAUGAACAGGGCGCAAGGAACGAUGUAGAAGAUGGAAACUCCACUUACACGGGACUUGUCCUGGAGGACCGAUCUGUUUACAGUGAUCUG